CUCCUACGGGGGGCAGCAGUGGGGGAUAUUGGACAAUGGGGGGAACCCUGAUCCAGCGAUGCCGCGUGAGUGAAGAAGGAUUUCGGUAUGUAAAGCGCUGUCAGCAGGGAAGAAAGCAAUGACGGUACCUGACCAAGAAGCGCCGGCUAACUACGUGCCAGCAGCCGCGGUAAUACGUAUGGGGCAAGCGUUAUCCGGAAUUAUUGGGUGUAAAGGGAGCCUAGACGGCUGUGCAAGUCUAGAGUGAAAGCCGGCGGCCCAACCGCCGGACUGCUCUGGAAACUGCAUGGCUGGAGUACAGGAGG
rnacentral:rRNA from 1 species